rnacentral:lncRNA from 1 species
UAUAAUAUAUGCAUAUACAUACAUAUAGAUAGAUAGAUAGAUAGAUAUAGAGAUGAUGAGAGAGAGAGAGAGAGAUACUACUAAUGGAUAACAAUAUAAAUCAAGGCAUGCACGGGGGCGCUCCCUGUGUGCACUACUUUGAGCUGAUCAUGUAUAACAUUUAAGACUGUUUCAUAAAUACACCUCUUCAAAUCUGCAUGGACACAGACGUGCACGGACAUGGAAUAUCCAACUAGUGAAUAGUCUACCUCUUGCCUUUUAAAUAAAAUGAAAUUUGAACCACUCCAUGUAUGCAAAUAUCUCAUAUCCCGCCUAUAAAAGAGAAUAAAAAAUAUAAAAAGAACAAAAAUAGACCCAAGAAAUCAGGAGGAAAAAGAACAGUUCAUUAUAAAUGGGGUGCAACUCAAUUCUCCUUCUCUAAAUGAGAAUUUAGUUACCAAACUCCACUAAGACUUAACCAUUUAAUGACUCAGUUAAUUAUAGUUCCUGUGUGAAACGUUCGAUUAAAAAUGAACUUCUAAAUCAGGUGAUAAUUAUUUUCUCACUGGUUGUCCAACACUAAUUCUAAGCACUCGAAGAGAGACAGAAAGGAAAAUUCUAGUUUUAUCUUGCUGAACAUCGGCAAGCUGUAAAACCUGUAGUAGUAUACAUACAUAUAUACUUCCAUAUGAAAUGGAUAUAAUUAUGGUAUAACUGGACUGGCGCAGCAGAGAAUACAGUGUGUAUUAGUCAUUAUUACUUACAAGGUAAAUGCAGCCAGAUUGCUCCCCAGUAAGAUUGCUUUUGUACGUCGAAAAUCCUGAUUAACACUGUCCAACUUGGCACAAAUUCAGAAUCAGAGGCAGUCUACAAUAUGGCAUAAAAGAGUAAAUGAGGUCGUAGGCCAUGUACUGAAUGGCCUAAAGGCCUAUAUAAAGGGAUCUCUUAUUGUUCUUUCAGAAUUACAGAAGAAAAGUUAUUUUCGGUAUGUCAUGUGUGAUUCUAACAGCAACAGAAAGAAUUUCCAUCGUACACUUGUAAAAUUCACGAUCCAAAAAUAAGUUUUGCAAUAUCAGCAGUAAUUUUUCUUUCUUUUUUUUGGAGAAACAUGCAUCAUACAAUAAUGAACCCAAAUCUGGUAGAUCGUGAGGCCUACCUUCAUAAAUCAAGCCAUGUAGCAAAAAUAAAUUCUAUCAGUCACAAUUUCCAACCUGAAUAAUCAAAAACUCGAAUUCUAUCAUAUCCAUGGUAUAAAUAUUUAUUUACAAAAAGAAAAAGAAAAAGAAAAAGAAAAAGAAACCAUAUUCAUCAAGUAGCACCAAGUAUGCUUGUCUUAGUGCUGAACUAUGUGACUCAUCGCGUGAUUUCCAACAAUUCAGCUACAUUAGUAAAUCUAUAUACUAUAAUAAGGAACUUUUGAGAGCUUUAGGACUAUAAGUUCAAAACUGAAAGGUGGGAAUUAGCAAUUGAAGAACUAGGAUCAAGGACCAUCUUAUUAUCUGAAAAAGGGGUCCACCACGAAGCGCUUACAAAUUGAUCAGAGUUAACUUAUUGCAAUCCAUGUACAAGGAGUCUACAAAUUAACUAAAAUAAAGCAACUGCGACAUGAUUACAGAACUGCAACUAUUGGUCAAGGGACACAACACAACCAUACCAAUGGAAAAUGACCAUGAUGUUGAAAGUGAUGAAAAAUCUCAUCUGCUCCCUGUAAAUCACCCCCUUCAAAUCAUCUAAUGAGAAGCUCCGGCAAAGGAACUCAAUGAACUGAUCACAGAUUCGUAAACCUUGAUUCCUUUCAGGUAUAUGGUGUCCUUAAGGAACUGUAGAACAUAGUUAAGUAAGAAAAGAACCAANN